CCCAGCGGAAGAAUAAAUGCAACGUACAGAUAGAAAUCGAAAGUAAAGUCUGUCUACGGUAUUUAUUAAGUCAAUACAAGGUUGUGGCGUAAACCUGUUGCUAGAAAAUGAAUAAAGUCAUUUUGAAUAACAAACCUAAGCUCAUCAAAUGGCUUAGUGUGGAUUUAAUGCAUAUUUUGCAACAUGUUCAAGCUAAAGAACUUAUAACAAUGCCGGAGUACGAUGAACUGAAGUCUGUGACAGUUCCCAGAGAUAGGGUUGUUAAACUUUUGGACAUCAUCCUUGGAAAAGGUGAAAAUGUGUGUCGAGAUUUUCUGAUUUUGCUGAAAGACGAUGAUGUGAAUGAAAUUUCUCCUGAACUCAGAAAUUGGAUCAAAACCGUGGACACUUCAGAGACAGCAAACACGGUGGGACAAUCAGGCAUCCAAGUAACAAGCAAAAUCUCUGCAUCUGAUUGCAGCAAUGUGAAUUCACCUAUCAUAACUGGUGCAACUCUAGGCUCCUUUACAAUGAACGUGACUAAUGCACCCUCAGGCAAAUCAAAUGUGCCUGCAAAUUGCCAGAAACCUGAUAGAGACUGGGAAGGAAGAGAAAAUGGUAACAGGCCAAUACAAGAUUAUCAAAAGCUUCUAAAAGCAAACACCAGUCAUUUGGUUCAAAACGUGAAGAACAUUGAUGCAAUUAUUGAUGAUCUUAAGUUCUUGCACAAAGAAUCAAUUGCAAAUGUGAGAGCGAAACCAACACGGCAGAAGAUGAUGAGGGAACUGCUUGACUGUGUGAACUGUAAAAGCUCUGCUAAGGAACUGGUCGAUGCUUUGUUCAACCAUGAACCAGAUCUCAUGAAGGAUUUGCAAUACUAAAGGUUGUAUGGUUUAUGCACCAGUUUAACAGCAAAUAUUACAGGGAAGCAAUGGCAUUAUGUACCUUUUUUUUAUUUUUAUUUUUUUUUAUGUUUUUAAUAAUUGAUUGGUGAUGGAGUUUUACUUUUUUUGUAUUGAGAACCAAGUAUAUUUUUUACAAACAAGAGUACAUAUAACCAAACUUGGCAUAUAAAUGAUAUAUGGUAUUGGUAUCUAUUAGGUUGCUUCUUUUUUUCCCCCUUUUUUUAAAAACUGAUAUCUGUGAUGGUGUAUAUGGAUGUGUAUGUCCAUAUGUAUAGUAUUUUUUAAUAUUUUUAGAUGUACCAGUCGAUGUUGGAAUGCUGGUUUUGAGUCUACUCCAAAUUUUCCUACUAGGGACAAUAAAGUAUAUUUCAUUUCAUUCAUAUUGUACAUAAUAUAAUAAUAAUGAUUGGUCAGUGAUUGAACCAUUGCAUGCUGAAUACUACUAUCCUCUGUGAACUAAAAUAAAUGAUGUUGUCUUAACAUAACCAUA